AGAAAAUUUUUUCCGACUAAACUUAAAGGAUUAAAAUUAAAGGUCACAUUGUCCUGUCUAGGAGGGGAAAAAACGUGUUCUCUCCUCUAACUCUGAACAUCACAGAUCUGUUGAAAGUACCUAGCAUAUUCAUGGAUAAGGAUUGAAACAUCAAACUCUAGAUAAAUGAAAUAUUGGAACACAAGAAGGAAGCUUGCAGAUGUAUGUAGAGAACUUAUGUGUCCAGGAUGUAAGGAGAAUUCAUCCAAGCAAUGUAAACUUCCAGAUCACUUUCAAACUUGUCUUGCGUUGUGUAUUGGGAGAAUUUGCACUGAUCUUUCACAUUCUUAAACUAUGUAGAUUAACUCAUUUUUUGGCGAUCAUUAUUUCUGUCCUUUUUUAUUGAUUUAAGUUGUAUUAAGGUAUCUUUCAGAAGCAUGGAGCAAAGAUUUGGAAAAAGGAAAAUGUUAGAUGAAGAAAAAUGUGAAAAUAAGAGGAUUCAGAGUUUAAAGGAAGACUCGAACAUUGAGGAGAGUGAUUCAAGUGAAGAGGAAAAUGUCUCCAGUGGAGGGGAGAAGGAUGAAUACUCCACUGGAGAAGAGAAUAACUCUAGUGAAGAGGAGGAAAAGGUUUCCACUGAGGAGUCAAUGAAAGAGAAAGUAGACAAACAGAAAGCUGAUCUGGAGGAACAGAUGAAUGAUGAGAUAUCAAAGAAGGAGAAAUCUAAUAGAGAAAAUCAAGAUCUUGUAAAAAAGAUUUUUGAACUAGAGAAACAAAUAAAUAAUGAGAAAGAAAAAAAAUGAGGAAAGAUUUUUAGAACUAGAGAAACAGCUGAAUGAUGACAGAUCAAUGAAAGAAGCAUCACAGAAGGAGAAAUGUGAAGUUUUAAACUUUCUUGAAAUCCAGGUCACUUGUCCUGUUUGUCUCUUGAUCCCAAGAACCAAGAGGAUACCUAUCUGCAGAAACGGGCACACCACCUGUAAGACAUGUAAAAGGUUUGAAUGUAAAAUAUGUGGAAGUCAGUUUGCAGAUCGUAGUAAUGCAAGAAGACAUGCUAAAGCCAAACAUUUGGAUCAUCCCACUCCAUGUACUCUCUGUAGUAAACUACUGAAGAAUGAAUGAAGUCUGAAGAUGCACAUGAAGCAAUUAUCAUUCAGACUAAACUCACUUCCAGAUGUAGAUUGAAGAAAAGGAGCAAAAUGUCAAAAAAUGUUAUCUCUGAGAGCAAAAUAAUGAAUAGUCAGACAUGGUUGACCCGUGUGGACCGUGGUUCAACUACUUCUGUUCAACUUAAGUUGUUGCAAGAGAAGUGUUUGGGCAAAGUCUGUGUGGUUCAGCUACUUCUAUUUUGUUGAUAAUUAUCACAUUUCAUUCUGCAUUGAAAAUUAUUUUUUCCUCCUAUCUUUGUUUGAAACUGAUCACAGUCAUUACAGAGCUUGCAUCUUUAAGAUUAAACAAUAAAUUGAGAAAGCUUUUCUUGAAAAAAAUAUGUUUUCAUAUAUCGAUCACUGUUAUGAAUAUUUUUAGGGUAAGAUAAGAUUCUAGUAGAGUAAAGCGAUUUAAACAAAGAUUGGUUUAGUCAAAUAAAAAUUUGUAUCUUUUAAUGCCAUUUUUUAUAUAUGAAAUAACUGUUGAAAAUCGUUUGCGAAUCUAUUAUAGCACCCAGUGAAGUGCUUAAGUAACAUUUUAAGUUUUGAAUUUUUUUCUUCUUUUACGUAAAGUUAGUUUAAAA